rnacentral:rRNA from 1 species
UACGUAGGCGGAAAAUUAAGUCAGUAGUGAAAUCCUGCAGCUUAACUGUAGAACUGUUAUUGAUACUGGUUUUCUUGAAUUUAGUUGAGGUAGGCGGAAUGUGUAAUGUAGCGGUGAAAUGCUUAGAUAUUACACAGAACACCGAUUGCGAAGGCAGCUUACUAAACUAUUAUUGACGCUGAGGUACGAAAGCGUGGGGAGCGAACAGGAUUAGAUACCCUGGUAGUC